CUCUUUUCCUUCACCUCCCCCGCCAUCACCUAAUCCUAUCUUCUCUCAAAUGCUCUCAUGUCUAAACCCUAAUCAGACCUCGAUGUCACUCAUAUAUGGCCAUUCAUGGUGGUUUAUCACCAACCCCCAGGCCUCUAACAACCUCUCCUCUAUCAGUGUCACCAUAUCCAUGGUCCUCAAGGGACAAGGGUUAGUCUGCUUGCAUCUAUGGCUGUUUCUCACAUGUUUCACACUGUUCAGUUUGAUUCUAUGUAAGAACUUUCUAUAUCGACUUAGAUUUAUGGGUUUCUAGGCUUGCUUCUUCACCUCUGUGUUGUUCUUCUCGACACCUUAAUUUCUUCCUUCUGAACUUGUUAUAAAUGUAUAGAUCUCAGAUGGUUUAGACCUAUUUCAUAUGAGUUUUACAAGAACCUUUUGAUUUUUGCAAGAACCCUCUGAUUUUUGAAUGGUUUUAUUUUUCUAAACUAAGGUUUCCCGAAAAUUUCUUUUUCCAAAACAUUUGAUAAUUCUGAGUGUUUAAUCUUCAAUUUCCUAUAUAUUUUAACUGAUUUCAUAAGUUUUUAUCUAACCUUAACUCGUUUAUACUAAAAGCUCUAGUUUUUCGACACUUUUUGUUUGGUUUAUGAGUUACUUGUGUACUAAUCUUGUCCUUGCUUUGGUUCUGUGAUGUUUCUUUAGCUAAUUAUAUGUUUUGUGAUUUUCUUAUCCUAAUACGUCUCUACUAAGUUUCUUGGUUCAACUUUUCUACUAAUUUUGUAUGUUUGUGUUCAUUCUGACUAUUCAUGGUAGGACUAUAUUUUUCUCGUUAAAUCAAGGUUGUUUUGAAUUUUACAUUUACCAAUUUGCUUCGAAAAACCUAUGUGUUGAAUCCUGACUAUUCCUUUCUUGCCUAUUUGAAUUGUCUGUGAUAUUUCUAACUCUUUACGUGAUUUUCUUUUUUAAUUACACCCUUGAAUAUUCUGAAGUUCUUAUUUCGGUGUGAUUUGAACUCUUUUCCUUAACAAAACCAUUGAUUCUUACUUCUCUACUCGGUUUGAUUGAACUUCUUGCCUUAAUUAGUUCUCUCUUGCCUUAUUUGUUAUUUGCUGAUUCUUAUUAAUUAUUUCCUUAAUUGAACUCCUGUUCAUUCCCCAAUAAUUACCUACUAUAUUCCCAAGUCUUACUGGAUUCCCUUCCUUAAAUAUCUGUCCUGUUUUUACCGUGGAGUGAUAAUCCCUUGGUUAAGGGGAAGACUAACUGAUUUCAUGUGUGUGAUUGAUUAUGUGAAUUUUCCUAAUUGCUAGUAUUGAUACCCAAUAUUUUCCUAUUUUUUUUAUGCGUAAAUACCUUAGUAUAUAUGUGCAUAUAUAAGCAUGCACAUGGUUUUUAUAAAUUUUUCCCUAAUUUUAAAGAUGUAAAUUGAUCUUUUUAUUUGCUUUUAUACAUUAAAUUCCUAAUAGUUAUGCCUCAAAUUAUUUUUGUGAUUAUGCAGUCAUUCAAUUUUUAUAUUUAUGCCAAAAUGUGGUUAAAACAUUUUUAUGCAUUUUUUAUAAUUUAAUUUUGUGUUUUUAGCUAAAUUGCAUAUAAUUGAAAUAUAAGUAUAGUAGUUCAAAAUUAGGUAAAAUAAGACAAGAAUCAUAGUAGCAUAGUAAUUAUGGAACCAAUACUAAUCAAAAUCAAAUUAAUGCAAGUACCCCUUUAAUUUAGGAGGUAAUCAACCAACGGUAUUCGGUAGAAAUGAUUAAGGAAAAAAUCAAGUAGAGUAUAAGGUAUAAAAUAGAUAAUUAGGGGUAAGUACAUUGGAGUGUGAGUGCUUGAGACUGUCUAAAAGUAUUCAGUCGGAAAACAAUAUUAAAAGAGAUUUGCUGGAAAUAUUUUGUAGAGUAAACGAGGGAGUCAUGCAGUAAAACAACCUUGAAAAUAGAGAGUUACGUGAUUAGACCACAGUAGAUCAAACAGAGAAUCCAAAACUACAUCAACAAUACUCACAUGCUCAAAAUAGAAGGAACAAACCUACACACAUGGGUGAUGGGGAUUGGGGAUACUUAGAACACAUGCUUGUAAACACAUAACAAGCAAAGGUGUUAGGAAUUGGUACAAACAUGCUUUGACACAACUGAUCAGACAUAGUCCUAUUGCGUGUUGUUACCCAUCCCUUCUUAAUGGUCAUGGAGGGAUUUAGGACCUCUACCUAUAGGUGGUUAUAGGCAAACCCCUAAGGUUUUAAAGGAAAAAAUACUAAGGCGACAUGCAAGAACAAUUAGGACUUUAGCACAUAAGAUAAAAGGGAGCUAUUAGAGGCUCAGGGUUACCUCCUCAAAUAAUACAAAUAAGCAAAACGACUCAAGCAAUAAUAAGGGCCUUUUGUUAAACAGUAUCCUAAGGCAAUGUGUUUAACUGAAUAUGCAGAAAACAAGCAGUUUAUUUUAUAAAAUCAGAAGUAAUGACCCUAGUAGUUGCCUACUAAUUUUUUAAAACUUGUUAAACCAGAACAACAUUAAGUCACAGAAAUAACUCAGAGUUGCAAGAUUUAAAAAGGCCCUAUAGGCUUGCCUAUACGAGAAUAAUGAUGACUAUGUUUUAUAUAUAAGCAUGAUAUCUAGUUGUUCAAUAGUAAUAUUAGAGACAUACAGGCUUGAUGACAAAUGAAAACACAUAUAAACAAUUGUUAUAACAGGAGUUGGAUUUGGAUUAUAUCCUAUAGGCAUGGCAUCUACUUGUGAAGUUGAGUUUAAGACCUAUAAACAUGAUUUAUAUUAUUGAAUCACUUGAGACCUAUAGGCAUGGUUUCUAGCAUGUUAAGGCAAACAUAGAAAAAAUGUAAGGCAUGGUUUCUACCCGUAUUACCCCACAAAUAUGUAACUAUCCAAUUUUUUCACUAGUUACCCCAAUAUUCAUUUACAAAUUAUUACGCCCCCUCCAGUAUGUGUACUGCCUUGGGAUCCUCUUGAGAACCCUCUAAAACUCUAGCAUACUGGGGAUGGCACUUUCACACUGCACUUAUUCAUUCUGGUUGCAACUUCUAGGUGUAAGCACUACCUCGGGAUCCUUGAGAUCCUUAGGAAACUUUGAUGCCCUUAGACUAUGACAUUGUCUAUGGAAUUUGGGCAUCUGAGGCUAUUGGAGAACUUAUAAUACGGGCCUAUUUGUAGACUCCCUAUAUAAUAACUUCUUAUUUUUGUAUUAAAUUUUAUAAUUUAUUCAUAUGGUCUAAAAUAAUUUGUAAAAGUAUAUUAGGGUAACUAGUGAAAAAGGUGGGUAGUUACAUAUUUGUGGGAUAAUAUGGGUAGAAACUUACUAUGUUAGAAACCAUGGCGAUAGGUAUCAUGUAGACUACUUCAUAAGGGGACUCAUACAAGAAACCAUGCAGAGCUAAAUCACAUGGAGACAAAACUACAUGGGGGAGUGGGAGGGGGUAACAUGUUGUAACUAAUCCUAAGGAAGGGGAGCAUAUAACAUGCUAAUCAUGUAAUCAUAUUAACUGCAAGUUUCACAGCUACAUAAUUAAUUAUUUACCAUAUUUUAUUUAACACUUGAUUACUAUAUAUGUCAUUACCUAUUCUCACUUCUAAACAUGAACACUAGUCCAAAAACUAUGGGUUUACUCUCUAAAAAGUCUCUCUUUGCUCUCUCUGCUACUUGUGAUCUCAAUUAUUCUAGCCGGCUGCAAGCCAAGACUAGAUAUUGCACAAUACCUUUCUCACAACUUGUGUUUUCUUUCUUUAACUAGGUAUGCUUAUGAUUAAUUUUAAGAAUCUAAACCUAUGUGUUUACUUACUACCUUAGUUCAUGGCCUGAGUCCAUUCUUGUUUCUGUUUACUGCUUACCCAGCAAGCCAAAUACUGCCUAUUCAAAUAUGUGAUUAGCAUGUUCCACUUUACAUACUUGUUUGCUAUCUUGUUUAACAUAUCUCCAUAUGUAACAAACCCUAUUUCACCGACUACUCUUUGUCUAGCAUACGUAAACUCUGCUUUUCUGUAAUUAGCAUUCUUUCACUUGUUAAUACUUGCCUAGCAUGGCCAUUUAAGUCCUUUCCUGCUCUGCCUCACCCCUGCUAAGUUAGUUAAUCUCCCUAGAGUGACUGUAGGUGUAUUGUCCUUAACAUGUUUCUACUGUGAUAUUUGCUGCAUGACCUGCAUUAUAUAUAAUCUACUAGUUCUAUAGAACCCCUUAUGAACUCUAUGUGUACUAUUGUUUGUAUGUUUUAUUAAGGUGUAUUCUCUGUGUUCCCAACCCCUUCUUCUUGUGUGAAAGUUGUUUGGAAAAAAUACUACCUAAAACUAUUUGUUCUAUUACUCGUAUUCUGAUUGCAAAUUGUUUCAUUACACUUUCCUAAUACCAUUUUAUCACUAAUGGGUUUUCAGAAAUUCUUUUCAACUAUAAGACCGUUCUUUAUACUGUCUAUUAAACUCUUUCAAACCAUUAUGCACUAUCACUCACUCUUAAAGUACUAAGUCCUACCAUUCUGGUAUGCGUACUGCUUAGAAGCCCUUGAGAUCUCUUUGAACUAUGGCAUACCAGGGAUGACACUUCCACACUGCACGUAAAUCAGUUAUUAUUUAAGAAACGUCUAGGUUUAAGCACUACCUGGGAUCCUUGAGGUCCUUAGAGAACUCUGACACCUAGACAUGAAAUUGGGUAUGGAACUUUGGGAAUUUGAGACUACUGGAGGUUUGGAAAUCACUUUGGGCCUACUUCAAUCUCCCUACAACUUAACUUCGAUUAUAUUUAUGUAAUUUAUGUUCAAUUCUUGGUCUAUUAUAAUUAUGGUAAACAAACAAUUGGGUGACUAGUAAAAAGAAAGGGUAGUUAUAUACUAUGGAUAAAGUUGGGUCGAUACCAUGCCUAUAGGGUCCACGCUGAUUCAAAUGUGUUUGUUAGAUUCCAUGCCUAUAGGAUCUGCUCUGGUUUAAAUAAGUUCCUAUUGCUUUACUUCCACACAAUUAGAAGUCAUGCCUAUAGGAUCUAAAUAAUCUAUAAUAAUAGAUAUCAUGCCUAUAAGGUCUAAAUCAGCUUUAAUAGAAAUCACGCCUAUAGGAUUUAAAACCAAC
rnacentral:lncRNA from 1 species